UGGGGGAUAUUGCACAAUGGGCGAAAGCCUGAUGCAGCGACGCCGCGUGGGGGAUGAAGGCCUUCGGGUUGUAAACUUCUUUUGCUCUGAACAAGGCGCACCAUGGGGUGUGUUGAGUGUAGGGGUUGAUUAGCGCCGGCUAACUACGUGCCAGCAGCCGCGGUAAUACGUAGGGCGCGAGCGUUGUCCGGAAUUAUUGGGCGUAAAGGGCUUGUAGGUGGCUGGUUGCGUCUUUCGUGAAAGCUCAUGGCUUAACUGUGGGUUUGCGGUGGGUACGGGCUGGCUUGAGUGCGGUAGGGGAGGCUGGAAUUCCUGGUGUAGCGGUGGAAUGCGCAGAUAUCAGGAGGAAUACCGGUGGCGAAGGCGGGUCUCUGGGCUGUUACUGACACUGAGGAGCGAAAGCAUGGGGAGCGAACAGG
rnacentral:rRNA from 1 species